rnacentral:lncRNA from 1 species
UAUGUGUGUGUGUGUGUAUAUACAUAUAUAUAUGGUGUACAAAAUGGAAUAUAUAUAUAUAUAUAUAUUUCAAUUAAAAAUCUCCAGCUAGGUCAUCUGAAUCCCUAUGUAUUAAUUAUGGUCUGGGAGCAGAUGAAAGGGUUGGAAAAAUUAAUGUAACAGAGGGAUACUCUAGGGACACCCUUAAGAUUCUACCCUGUGAGAACAGGCACCUAGAUUUACAACUCUAUCAAGUUUACACAAAUUGAAAAGCAGUGAUUCUCUGGGAAAAAAACAACAAAACCUAGAAUUAGAAACGGGCACCGAAAAACAACAAAUAUCAACUACUCCUAGGGAAUACAAUUUGCUCAAGGCAAACUUUUACUGACAAGCACAAAGUUUCCCCUAAUUCAUUUAUUGAAAAUGCUGCAUUCUAAGACAAAACAUAUUUAGCAUGACCUUCAUUUUUUUCUUUUCUCAAGGUGGUAAGAACAAAGUGAUAUGCUACAGAAAAUUCUCCAUACCCUUGAAGGGAGCAACUGCCAUGCUCAUUUUGGCCUUUAUUCUCUGAAGACUGAAAGACUGAAUGAGAAAUGCAUCUGAUCUAAUGCUGAGACAGUCGAAUUUGGGAAUUUGAAAUGCGAUUUACCAGAGAGCAACUUGGGCUUAGCACAUGUUCAUUAAGGAGCACGCAGUCACAGCUAGCUUCCUGUUUGAAGAAAAAGAAAACAGUCCCUUGUUCAAAUAUCAUAAUUCACCAAAAUCUCACCAUGUUUUUCAUUUUUUUCUAUUAUAAAUUUACGUUAAUUGCAUGCUGCUUAAAUGUGGUUUUACAUAUUUACUCUC